GUCUACGGCCAUACCACCUUGGACAAUCUCAUCUGAUCUCGGGUAGAUAAGCAGGGUCUGGCCUGGUUAGUACUUGGAUGAGAGAUGAUCUCCAGAAGAAUGUCAGAGAUGGAUGCC
rnacentral:rRNA from 1 species